AGUCAACCUACCCUUGGGACGGGGACAACCUCGGGAAACUGAGGCUAAUCCCCGAUAGGUGAGGGACGCUGGAAUGCCUCCUCGCCCAAAGCUCCGGCGCCCAAGGAUGGGACUGCGGUCUAUCAGGCUGUUGGUGGUGUAACGGACCACCAAACCUACGACGGGUACGGGCGAUGGGAGUCGGAGCCCGGAGAUGGGGACUGAGACAAGGCCCCAGGCCCUACGGGGCGCAGCAGGCGCGAAAACUCCGCAAUGCGCGCAAGCGUGACGGGGGAAUCCCAAGUGCCGUUGGUCUUAUGAUCGACGGUUUUUAGGAAGUCUAAGAAGCUUCCAGAAUAAGGGCUGGGCAAGACUGGUGCCAGCCGCCGCGGUAACACCAGCAGCCCAAGUGGUGACCACGAUUAUUGGGCCUAAAGCGCUCGUAGCCGGAUCAGCAAGUCCCUUGUGAAAUCGGGCCGCCUAACGGUUCGGCGUGCAAGGGAUACUGUUGGUCUUGAGGCCGGGAGAGGUCGGAGGUACUCCUGGGGUAGCGGUGAAAUGCUCUAAUCCUAGGGGGACCACCAGUGGCGAAGGCGUCUAGCUAGAACGGGUCUGACGGUGAGGGACGAAGCCCUGGGGCGCGAACCGGAUUAGAUACCCGGGUAGUCCAGGGUGUAAACGCUGCUUGCUUGAUGUUAGUUGGGCUCCGAGCCCAACUAGUGUCGGAGAGAAGUUGUUAAGCAAGCUGCCUGGGAAGUACGGUCGCAAGACUGAAACUUAAAGGAAUUGGCGGGGGAGCA
rnacentral:rRNA from 1 species